UACGGAGGAUCCGAGCGUUAUCCGGAUUUAUUGGGUUUAAAGGGUGCGCAGGCGGGGGAUUAAGUCGGCGGUGAAAUUUUGCAGCUCAACUGUAAAAGUGCCUUCGAAACUGGUUUCCUUGAGUGUAGAUGAAGUAGGCGGAAUUUGUGGUGUAGCGGUGAAAUGCUUAGAUAUCACGAGGAACUCCGAUUGCACAGGCAGCUUACUAAACUACUACUGACGCUCAUGCACGAAGGCGUGGGGAUCAAACAGGAUUAGAUACCCCUGUAGUCCCU
rnacentral:rRNA from 1 species